rnacentral:rRNA from 1 species
AGAAGUGGAGCAAUCCAUGAGUACAGUGGCGUACGGGUGAGUAACACGUGGAUCAUCUACCUUUUAGUGGGGAAUACCCCCGGGAAACUGGGGAUAAUACCGCAUAAGCUCGUAAGAGGAAAGCAGCAAUGCGCUGAAAGAGGAGUCCGCGGCUGAUUAGCUAGUUGGUGAGGUAAUGGCUCACCAAGGCGAAGAUCGGUAGCCGGCCUGAGAGGGCUCACGGCCACACUGGCACUGAAACACGGGCCAGACUCCUACGGGAGGCAGCAGUGGGGAAUCUUGCACAAUGGAGGCAACUCUGAUGCAGCGACGCCGCGUGAGCGAUGAAGCCCUUCGGGGUGUAAAGCUCUUUCGACGGGAACGAUAAUGACGGUACCCGAAGAAGAAGCUGCGGCUAACUACGUGCCAGCAGCCGCGGUAAUACGUAGGCAGCGAGCGUUGUUCGGAAUUACUGGGCGUAAAGAGUGUGUAGGCGGUGUUCCAAGUCUGGUGUGAAAUCUCCCGGCUCAACUGGGAGGGUGCGCCGGAAACUGGGAUGCUAGAGGGUGGGAGAGGUAAGCGGAAUUCCUGGUGUAGCGGUGAAAUGCGUAGAUAUCAGGAGGAACACCUGUGGUGUAGACAGCUUACUGGACCACUUCUGACGCUGAGACACGAAAGCGUGGGUAGCAAACAGGAUUAGAUACCCUGGUAGUCCACGCCCUAAACGAUGCAUACUUGGUGUGAGCGAUUCAUUUCGUUCGUGCCGGAGCUAAC